AUUGAACGCUGGCGGCAUGCCUUACACAUGCAAGUCGAACGGUAACAGGUCUUCGGAUGCUGACGAGUGGCGAACGGGUGAGUAAUACAUCGGAACGUGCCUAGUAGUGGGGGAUAACUACUCGAAAGAGUGGCUAAUAUCGCAUGAGAUCUACGGGUGAAAGCAGGGGAUCGCAAGACCUUGUGCUACUAGAGCGGCCGAUGGCAGAUUAGGUAGUUGGUGGGAUAAAAGCUUACCAAGCCGACGAUCUGUAGCUGGUCUGAGAGGACGAUCAGCCACACUGGGACUGAGACACGGCCCAGACUCCUACGGGAGGCAGCAGUGGGGAAUUUUGGACAAGGGGCGCAAGCCUGAUCCAGCAAUGCCGCGUGCAGGAUGAAGGCCUUCGGGUUGUAAACUGCUUUUGUACGGAACGAAAAGCCCUGGGUUAAUACCCUGGGGUCAUGACGGUACCGUAAGAAUAAGCACCGGCUAACUACGUGCCAGCAGCCGCCGUAA
rnacentral:rRNA from 1 species